AAGGGCACCACAAGAACGCGUGGAGCAUGUGGCUUAAUUUGACUCAACGCGGGAAAUCUUACUGGGUCCGGACACGCUGAGGAUUGACAGGUAAAUUUGUUAGUUUAUUUGUAUCAAAAUUUAUUUUGAAAUAAAUAUCUAGCAUUUAUAAAUAUGCAAGUUCUUUCAUGAUUGUGUGAUAGGUGGUGCAUGGCCGUUCUUAGUUCGUGGAGUGAUCUGUCUGCUUAAUUGCGUUUCAUAAUUGGGUAUACUUAAAUUGUUAUGGUUGUAGAAGAUUCUUUAAAUUAUUAAUUCAUUACUCACUUGUUUAUAUAAUUAUUCAAUAUAAUUUCAUAUUUCCAUGUUGUAAUAUCCUUCUAAUGAUUAGAUCUUUUAUUUUUAUCAUAACAAGGUAUAACCCCGAAGGCAACGAACGUGACCG
rnacentral:rRNA from 1 species